AGUUUUAUAGUCAAUUUAAUGAUAUUAGACUGCAAUUCUAAAGUUGGUUAUAAACCUAAAGCUU
rnacentral:tRNA from 1 species